AUUGAACGCUGGCGGCAGGCUUAACACAUGCAAGUCGAGCGAGCGGCGGACGGGUGAGUAAUGUCUGGGAAACUGCCUGAUGGAGGGGGAUAACUACUGGAAACGGUAGCUAAUACCGCAUACCAUCAGAUGUGCCCAGAUGGGAUUAGCUAGUAGGUGGGGUAAUGGCUCACCUAGGCGACGAUCCCUAGCUGGUCUGAGAGGAUGACCGGCACAACUGGAACGGGGCAAGGGCCCAGAUCCCUAGGGGGGGAGGCGUUGGGGAUUAUGGCCAAAGGGGGAAAAGCUGGAUGCGGCAAUGCGGGUGGUGUGAAGAGGGCUUUCGGGUGGUAAAGCACUUUGAGCGAGGAGAGGUAACUCGCGGAAGAAGAACCGGCAAACUCCGUGCCAGCACCGGCGGUAAUA
rnacentral:rRNA from 1 species